rnacentral:rRNA from 1 species
CCCUUAGAUGUUCUGGGCCGCACGCGCGCUACACUGAUGCAUUCAACGAGCCUAUCCUUGACCGACAGGUCCGGGUAAUCUUUGAAUCUGCAUCGUGACGGGGAUAGAUCAUUGCAAUUAUUAAUCUUCAACGAGGAAUGCCUAGUAGGCGCAAGUCAUCAGCUUGCGUCGAUUACGUCCCUGCCCUUUGUACACACCGCCCGUCGCUCCUACCGAUUGGGUGUGCUGGUGAAAUGUUCGGAUCGGCCGUUUGUCGCGGUUUCCGCGUCAUGUGGCUGAGAAGUUCAUUAAACCCUCCCACCUAGAGGAAGGAGAAGUCGUAACA